CUGUUAGCAAUGCUUCCUGAUGUUGUGCGUGGCCCUUUUUGGUUGAUUCUCUCCAAAUUCGGGUCAGCUGCUGCCACCUGGCAAAUAACAGAGGAUAUGCUGAAUCUCCUGUCCAUCCUUGUAACGAUAUCCUUCUUAAUGAAAUUCUUCAACUGGCUGAGCAAUUACAAAUGUCAUCUGUCCAGACACAUGGGCUUAAGGAUGUCUACAAAAUUUUAGACAUUUUUGCAAAUGGGAAAAAAAAUAGUCUUGUAAAUACUGAAACAGAUUUCCAUGAACUUUAUCCUACUCUUGGAAAGAAAACAAUUCUCCUUGGCUGCAGAAAUCAAAUAAGCUGGGUUUGCAAUGACCAAGGACAUAAAUGAAGAUGGAUUGAAGUGGAAAAAUUCUGUCUCCCAAGUGAUCAGUGACAUCUGCCAGAGGUCAUUACAGCUACUUUUAACUGUGAACAGUCACCAGCUAAACUACUCACUUGCCACAACAAAAUAACCUCUCUCAAAAUAAAUCCAGUGCAUCUGUAUAUAUGUGUAGAUAGCAGCAACAAACAAUCCUGAAACAUUAUUUUUGGCUGUUAGGUAAGUAAACGUGAUGAUAAUUAUAAACAACAUUCAAAUAACCUUGGACCUUGGUGAAAUGACUUGUGGUGGCCAGAAUGGUGCAACAAGAUGUUAUUUGCAAGUUUUUUUAAGACACAAAUAUCUCAGAUACUAAUAAUGAGAAUAAAGACUGUUGAAUAUGAAAUUAAAGCCAAGCAAUAAUGUGCCAAAAAGAGGCAGUUAUACCAGCAAAUGCAUCUAUUAUGGGCACACCAUUAUAUAAUGAUGGUUUGCUUUAUGAAGACUGACUGUAACCCACAGGAUAAAAUAAGCAAAGGCAUAGUUUCUGCUUUCUUCCUGGAAAAACUUGUUUAGAAGCUUCAUAAAGAGGUACAGCACUAAUGAGCAUUAGUCAGGAUACAGUUGGCAUCUAUGUUUUUAUGUGAGCCCAGAGGGAAGAGGAGCCACUCAAAGUCUUGCUGGCUUAAAACUCAAGACAGCUGCAACCAGAAGUUUUGUUGAAAUGGAGACUUUAAACUUAUGGUAAUUACUCUUUCUGGACACUAGCAUGUAGAAAGCAAUUCAGUUAACUCUGCCCAGAGGAUUACCAGCUUUAGCUGUGAAAAAAUGGGCUCCCGGAUGUAAAAUCACUAAAACAUGAGAUCUUGUAUCCAAAGAGGCUUCAAAUGAUGCCUUACAGAAAACGAUGCUCCAGAUGGGCACUUCUAAAUGCUAACUCUUCAUCAAGUAUCUUUCUGGAUUCAAGCUCAAAAUUAAUUGGCUGCAAAAUAGUAGGAAUAAAAAUCACAUAUUUUACACUUUAGAAAAGGAUAUUGAUGAUCAACCUGCAUGGUGAUAAUUAUGAUGAGAUACCCCAGUGAUUUAAUGAUGUUAGAAAGAAUUAAAUGGGAGAGAAUUGCUAACAGCUUUCUUGAUCUCUUAACUAUGGAGAUGUCAUUCAUUUAUUUCUGGGGUGAAAAUUAUAGCUUGCUUUUUGACAUUGCUGCUAGUAUUGUUCUUUGUUGCUUUAAAAAUUGUCUCUCUUUAGAAAAACUCUUGAGCAGUUAAACAGUUUUUUUUCUGAUUCAUAUCAUUGCUUUUAAUAACAUGUAAAGGCUGUGUGUAGAGCAAACUAUAUAAAAUGAGUAGAAAGGGCUUACUCAUGUUAAUUGGCAUCCUUGAUGAUUUUAGUUGAGAUUCCUUAACAUUUAUUUUAGAUCACAUCUUUACGUAACUUAUUUUUCCUAAUGUUUUCCAUCGUGUCUUAAAAUGAUGCUGGUAUAUCAGGAGAUUGCAGUAUUAUAGUCAUACUCCCCAAUCCCUAGAGGAGAGGAAAGACUAAUUCUUGUUUUAAGGGCCCCUGGAGAUACCUUUUAUUAAGGUUGAAAAAGGUCAACACAGCCUGAAAAUAAGAAAAAUAUAUACUAGCAAUUACUAAUUUUCUAAAUGUGUGUAUCUCUGCUGUACUAAUGUGUGAACAAUAUGUCGUGCAUAAUACUGUAGCUGGUCGUGGUAUGUCAAUACAUUCUGUGAGUGUGUACAGUCUGAGUGAUCAGUUUUCUAUUUUUAUGUGUAAAAAAAAUAACUUGUCGUAUCCCAUUUAAAGGCCAAUUUCUGUAUUCAGGCAGGCAUAUGUACAUACAUGAAUAAAGCCAACAAAAGUGUGCACAUGUAUUCAGU
rnacentral:lncRNA from 1 species